UCAGGUAUUAGGCAAGCGAGUUUAGCCAAGCGAGUACAGGCAAGCGAGUCAAGCUAAGCGAGUUUAGGUUUUAUGCAAGCGAGUUUAGGUAAGAGAGUCAAGUUACUUUAGGCCUCACUUUAUUUGCGGUUAAAUUGCGGCAUUAGGUUUAGAAAGAAGGUUAAGAUCCAGGCUCAGGUUUGCUUCCAGCCUCGUCCCUCUAGUCGCUCCCUAUAAAGAGGGUUCCCAGCUACCGUGUUAAAAUACAACAGCUGGGAUUACAGAUAUGGAGUACAGAAAUAAAUGACAAA